rnacentral:rRNA from 1 species
GACGAACGCUGGCGGCGUGCCUAAUACAUGCAAGUUGAGCGAUGAAGAUUGGUGCUUGCACCAAUUUGAAGAGCAGCGAACGGGUGAGUAACGCGUGGGGAAUCUGCCUUUGAGCGGGGGACAACAUUUGGAAACGAAUGCUAAUACCGCAUAAUAACUUUAAACAUAAGUUUUAAGUUUGAAAGAUGCAAUUGCAUCACUCAAACAUGAACCCGCGUUGUAUUAGCUAGUUGGUGAGGUAAAGGCUCCCCAAGGCGAUGAUACAUAGCCGACCUGAGAGGGUGAUCGGCCACAUUGGGACUGAGACACGGCCCAAACUCCUACGGGAGGCAGCAGUAGGGAAUCUUCGGCAAUGGACGAAAGUCUGACCGAGCAACGCCGCAUGAGUGAAGAAGGUUUUCGGAUCGUAAAACUCUGUUGGUAGAGAAGAACGUUGGUGAGAGUGGAAAGCUCAUCAAGUGACGGUAACUACCCAGAAAGGGACGGCUAACUACGUG